UUUUUCUUUUCCGUAAAAAAGCUUUUAUCAUGUUUUCCAAGAAACGAGAUGUCAACUUUAGCUUACUGAAUAUCAAAUUAACAUAAUUAAAUCCGGGUUCAGUUUCUCGCGAGUCCAAUCAGAUUUUAAUUUUAGGAUCCCUUAUGAUCUUUAUUUAGCCAACUUAUUAAUUUGAAUUAUCUGUUUAGGUUCUGCUGAUGUUGCAGUUUCCUCCUGAGUGAGAAAUCUUUUCUGAAGAAGAAUAAUUAUCUUUGGUCGUAUUACAAGUGUUCUGAGCUUGAAUCCAUCCUGGUUUAUUAUGAACAUCAUGGCCCGUUAACAGUAGCGACAUCUCUCCCUUUGGUGGAGUUCGAAAAGAAAACUGAAAAUCUCUGAUCAAAAGUGUCCAACUAAAAAAGUUUACGGUUGGCUCCAUUGAUUUAUAUUGCAGGGAGAGCCGUUGCAUGGAUAUUCUUCUUCAAGUAUAAAAUGAACCCUCACUCUUUAUUUUCUAUUUAAAUAAUAAUAAAAAAAAAAAAAAACAGAUUAUUUGUUACUCCUCACGAGUGAUCAUAGGCACUUGGGGAACUUCAUUCUUGGAAAAUCAUCGUGUUCUUGAAGUAUAGUGAUGGUGAUUUCGAAUAUUCACCCUGGAAUUUUAUGUAAUUACCGUGUUCUUGAAGUAUAGUUAUGGUGAUUUUCGAUUAACAUGUGAUAUAUAUUUUUACUUGUUCAUUUUA